UGUUGCAGUUAAAAAGCUCGUAGUCGAACUUCGGGCUCUGUCAGCCGGUCCGCCUUCUUGGUGUGUACUUGUUUGACGGAGCCUUACCUCCUGGUGAACGGCGAUGUCCUUUACUGGGUGUCGUCGCAAACCAGGACUUUUACUUUGAAAAAAUUAGAGUGUUCAAAGCAGGCCUUUGCCCGAAUACAUUAGCAUGGAAUAAUAAAAUAGGACGCGCGUUCCCAUUUUGUUGGUUUCUGAGAUCGCCGUAAUGAUUAAUAGGGAUAGUUGGGGGCAUUUGUAUUCCGUCGUCAGAGGUGAAAUUCUUGGAUUGCCGGAAGACAAACUACUGCGAAAGCAUUUGCCAAGGAUGUUUUCAUUGAUCAAGAACGAAGGAAGGGGGAUCGAAAACGAUUAGAUACCGUUGUAGUCUCUUCUGUAAACUAUGCCAAUUGGGGAUCGGUACAGGAUUUUUAAUGACUGUAUCGGCACCCGAAGAGAAAUCUUUAAAUGAGGUUC
rnacentral:rRNA from 1 species